AUGCAUCAAGACAUUUUAUAUAUGGUUUUUACACUGCCAAUCCAGACUAGAUACUUCCAAAUCCUAAAAAACUUUAUUACAAUAGUCAGGAGUGAACUCAUACAUGUAUAUCUACUAAUAAACACCAACAAGCAAUUACAACAGCAGAGAUAUAAUCUAAAACUCAUGGCAUAUAUCUUUAUAUUCAUCAAGUUGAAAUCAACAAAAUUUAGAAUUUCCAAACACCAAAGGGCCAAAAAUGGUGAAAAUAGUCUCAAGAUUUACGGUCUAUAUCCACCGAGAGUUUUGUUGUUAAUAAUACCAAUAGAAGCUUUUCCAACAAAGCAUUCUCUAAUGCAAAUCUUCCUAGCAACCUCACCCAAUGACAUUUAUGCAUUAGCUCUGGUUUGA
rnacentral:rRNA from 1 species